rnacentral:tRNA from 1 species
GGGGUGAUAACUCAGUUGGUAUGAGUGCUAGACUGAAGAUCUAGAAGUCCCCGGUUCGAUCCCGGGUCAUCCCA